GGUGAACGCUGGCGGCGUGCCUAAGACAUGCAAGUCGAGCGGGCCGCGGGGUUUUACUCCGUGGUCAGCGGCGGACGGGUGAGUAACGCGUGGGUGACCUACCCGGAAGAGGGGGACAACCCGGGGAAACUCGGGCUAAUCCCCCAUGUGGACCCGCCCCUUGGGGUGUGUCCAAAGGGCUUUGCCCGCUUCCGGAUGGGCCCGCGUCCCAUCAGCUAGUUGGUGGGGUAAUGGCCCACCAAGGCGACGACGGGUAGCCGGCCUGAGAGGGUGGCCGGCCACAGGGGCACUGAGACACGGGCCACACUCCUACGGGAGGCAGCAGUUAGGAAUCUUCCGCAAUGGGCGCAAGCCUGACGGAGCGACGCCGCUGGGAGGAAGAAGCCCUUCGGGGUGUAAACUCCUGAACCCGGGACGAAACCCCCGACGAGGGGACUGACGGUACCGGGGUAAGAGCGCCGGCCAACUCCGUG
rnacentral:rRNA from 1 species